UGGGGGAUAUUGCACAAUGGGCGCAAGCCUGAUGCAGCGACGCCGCGUGGGGGAUGAAGGCCUUCGGGUUGUAAACUUCUUUUGCUCUGAACAAGGCGCACUUUGGGGUGUGUUGAGUGUAGGGGUUGAUUAGCGCCGGCUAACUACGUGCCAGCAGCCGCGGUAAUACGUAGGGCGCGAGCGUUGUCCGGAAUUAUUGGGCGUAAAGGGCUUGUAGGUGGCUGGUUGCGUCUGUCGUGAAAGCUCAUGGCUUAACUGUGGGUUUGCGGUGGGUACGGGCUGGCUUGAGUGCAGUAGGGGAGGCUGGAAUUCUUGGUGUAGCGGUGGAAUGCGCAGAUAUCAGGAGGAAUACCGGUGGCGAAGGCGGGUCUCUGGGCUGUUACUGACACUGAGGAGCGAAAGCAUGGGGAGCGAACAGG
rnacentral:rRNA from 1 species